rnacentral:rRNA from 1 species
UACAGAGGGUGCAAGCGUUGUUCGGAAUUAUUGGGCGUAAAGCGCGUGUAGGCGGUUUUGCAAGUCGGGUGUGAAAGCCCUCAGCUCAACUGAGGAAGUGCGCCCGAAACUGCAGAGCUUGAGUGCCGGAGAGGGUGGCGGAAUUCCCCAAGUAGAGGUGUAAUUCGUAGAUAUGGGGAGGAACACCGGUGGCGAAGGCGGCCACCUGGACGGUAACUGACGCUGAGACGCGAAAGCGUGGGGAGCAAACAGG